GAUGAAGAACGCAGCGAAAUGCGAUACGUAAUGUGAAUUGCAGAAUUCCGUGAAUCAUCGAAUCUUUGAACGCACAUUGCGCCCGCCAGCAUUCUGGCGGGCAUGCCUGUUCGAGCGUCAUUUCAACCCUCGACGUCCCCCGGGACGUCGGCCUUGGGGACCGGCAGCACCCCGCCGGCCCUGAAAUGGAGUGGCGGCCCGUCCGCGGCGACCUCUGCGAAGUACUACAGCUCGCACCGGAAACCCGACGCGGCCCCGCCGUGAAACCCCCAACUCUGAACGUUGACCUCGGAUCAGGUAGGAAUACCCGCUGAACUUAAGCAUAUCAAUAAGCGGAGGA
rnacentral:misc_RNA from 1 species